AAAAGCUUUCUUUAAUUGAAUAAUUGAAUUUAAUUUUUUAGUGCAAAAGCAAAAAUAAAAAUUAGGGACAAGAAGACCCUAUGAAUUUUUUAUUAAAUUUUAUAAAACUUUAUAUAAAAUUUAAUUUAAUUGGGGUGAUGGAAAAAGAAUAAAUAUCUUUUUUUUAAAAAAAAAAUUGGUUCCGUUUUUAGCGAUUAAAUGAAAAAAAUACUCUAGGGAUAACAGCGUAAUAAUUUUGGAUAGUUCAUAUAGAUAAAAUAGUUUGCGACCUCGAUGU
rnacentral:rRNA from 1 species